rnacentral:ncRNA from 1 species
GAAGCGGCGGUGCUCCCGCCCCGGACGAGCGCGUCGUACCCGGUGACGACAAGACGGCGCAGU